CACGCAGGCGGUCGCGCGCGUGGGGUGUGAAAUCUGGCCGCUUAACGGCCAGGCGCCAUCCCAUACGGCGCGACUGGAGGGCUGCAGAGGUCGAUGGAAUUGCCGGCGUAGUGGUGAAAUGCGUAGAGAUCGGCAGGAACACCCAGGGGGAAACCAGUCGACUGGGCAGCACCUGACGCUGAGGUGCGAGAGGCUGGGGAGCGAACC
rnacentral:rRNA from 1 species